rnacentral:rRNA from 1 species
GACGAACGCUGGCGGCGUGCUUAACACAUGCAAGUCCAACGGAAAGGCCCCUUUGGGGGUACUCUAGUGGCGAACGGGUGAGUAACACUUGAGUAACCUGCCCUUGACUUCGGGAUAACUUCAGGAAACUGGGGCUAAUACCGGAUAGGAAUCCUUGCUGCAUGGUGGGGGUUGGAAAGCUUCGGCGGUUUUGUCUGUACUCGCGGCUUAUCUGCUUGUUGGUGGGGUAGUGGCUUACCAAGGCUUUGACGGGUAGCCGGCCUGAGAGGGCGACCGGCCACAUUGGGACUGAGAGACGGCCCAGACUCCUACGGGAGGCAGAAGUGGGGAAUAUUGCACAAGGGGCGGAAGCCUGAUGCAGCAACGCCGCGUGCGGGAUGACGGCCUUCGGGUUGUAAACCGCUUGCAGCAGGGGCGAAGCUUGUGGUGACGGUACCUGCAGAAGAAGCACCGGCUAACUACGUG